rnacentral:rRNA from 1 species
GAUUAACGCUGGCGGCGUGCAUAACACAUGCAAGUCGAACGAUGAAACUUAGUAGACUUCUUCGGAAAGAAACUAAGCGGAUUAGUGGCGAACGGGUGAGUAACGCGUGAGUAACCUGCCUUACACAAGGGGAUAGCCUUUGGAAACGAAGAAUAAUACCCUAUAAAACCAUAAAAGCACAUGCUAGAAUGGUCAAAGUGAUAGCGGUGUAAGAUGGACUUGCGUCUGAUUAGCUAGUUGGUGAGAUAAAAGCUCACCAAGGCAACGAUCAGUAGCCGGCUUGAGAGAGUGUACGGCCACAUUGGGACUGAGACACGGCCCAGACUCCUACGGGAGGCAGCAGUGGGGAAUUUUGCACAAUGGGGGAAACCCUGAUGCAGCGACGCCGCGUGAUUUAGAAGGCCUUCGGGUUGUAAAAAUCUUUUGUAUAGGAAGAAAAUGACAGUACUAUACGAAUAAGGUCCGGCUAAUUACGUG